CAGUAGCCGCGGGAAUACAGAGGGUGCGAGCGUUAAUCGGAUUUACUGGGCGUAAAGCGUGCGUAGGCGGCUUUUUAAGUCGGAUGUGAAAUCCCUGAGCUUAACUUAGGAAUUGCAUUUGAUACUGGGAAGCUAGAGUAUGGGAGAGGAUGGUAGAAUUCCAGGUGUAGCGGUGAAAUGCGUAGAGAUCUGGAGGAAUACCGAUGGCGAAGGCAGCCAUCUGGCCUAAUACUGACGCUGAGGUACGAAAGCAUGGGGAGCAAACAGGAUUAGAUACCCGCGUAGUCCCUGUCUCUUAUAC
rnacentral:rRNA from 1 species